rnacentral:rRNA from 1 species
UACGUAGGGUGCGAGCGUUGUCCGGAAUUAUUGGGCGUAAAGAGCUCGUAGGCGGUGUGUCACGUCGUUCGUGAAAACCUGCAGCUUAACUGUGGGCGUGCGGUCGAUACGGGCAUCACUGGAGUUCGGCAGGGGAGACUGGAAUUCCUGGUGUAGCGGUGAAAUGCGCAGAUAUCAGGAGGAACACCGGUGGCGAAGGCGGGACUCUGGGCCGAUACUGACGCUGAGGAGCGAAAGCGUGGGGAGCAAACAGG